AUACGGAGGGGGCUAGCGUUGUUCGGAAUUACUGGGCGUAAAGCGCGCGUAGGCGGUUUGUUAAGCGAGAUGUGAAAGCCCUGGGCUCAACCUGGGAACUGCAUUUCGAACUGGCAGGCUAGAGUACAAGAGAGGGUGGUAGAAUUUCCUGUGUAGCGGUGAAAUGCGUAGAUAUAGGAAGGAAUACCAGUGGCGAAGGCGGCCACCUGGCUUGAUACUGACGCUGAGGUGCGAAAGCGUGGGGAGCGAACAGGAUUAGAAACCCCGGUAGUCC
rnacentral:rRNA from 1 species